rnacentral:rRNA from 1 species
CCUACGGGAGGCAGCAGUGAGGAAUAUUGGUCAAUGGACGAGAGUCUGAACCAGCCAAGUAGCGUGAAGGAUGACUGCCCUAUGGGUUGUAAACUUCUUUUAUAUGGGAAUAAAAUGUUCCACGUGUGGGAUUUUGUAUGUACCAUAUGAAUAAGGAUCGGCUAACUCCGUGCCAGCAGCCGCGGUAAUACGGAGGAUCCGAGCGUUAUCCGGAUUUAUUGGGUUUAAAGGGAGCGUAGGUGGAUUGUUAAGUCAGUUGUGAAAGUUUGCGGCUCAACCGUACAAUUGCAGUUGAAACUGGCAGUCUGGAGUACAGUAGAGGUGGGCGGAAUUCGUGGUGUAGCGGUGAAAUGCUUAGAUAUCACGAAGAACUCAGAUUGCGAAGGCAGCUCACUGGACUGCAACUGACACUGAGGCUCGAAAGUGUGGGUAUCAAACAGGAUUAGAUACCCGAGUAGUC